GCCUACGGGAGGCAGCAGUAGGGAAUCUUCCACAAUGGGCGAAAGCCUGAUGGAGCAACGCCGCGUGGGUGAGGAAGGUCUUCGGAUCGUAAAACCCUGUUGUUAGAGAAGAAAGUGCGUGAGAGUAACUGUUCACGUUUCGACGGUAUCUAACCAGAAAGCCACGGCUGACUACGUGCCAGCAGCCGCGGUAAUACGUAGGUGGCGAGCGUUAUCCGGAUUUAUUGGGCGUAAAGGGAACGCAGGCGGUCUUUUAAGUCUGAUGUGAAAGCCUUCGGCUUAACCGGAGUAGUGCAUUGGAAACU
rnacentral:rRNA from 1 species